UACAGAGACUGCAAGCGUUAUUCGGAUUCACUGGGCGUAAAGGGUGCGCAGGCGGCCAAGUGUGUGAGGCGUGAAAGCCCGAUGCUUAACAUCGGAAUUGCACCUCAAACUACAUGGCUAGAGCAUUGGAGAGGGUAGCGGAAUUCACGGUGUAGCAGUGAAAUGCGUAGAUAUCGUGAGGAACACCAGAGGCGAAGGCGGCUACCUGGACAAUUGCUGACGCUCAGGCACGAAAGCGUGGGGAGCGAACAGG
rnacentral:rRNA from 1 species